AAAGAUAUAAAAACAUACAAAAAUAGUAACUGUUCAUAAGUUUACUGCAGUUUUAUUACUGUGUAUGUAAAAACAGUUUAAAUUUUGUGUACAGCUCACAUAUGAUGGUGAAUAGUCAUGCUGCUGUCUAGAAGUGAAAUACAGUAUAAAUUCAGGAAAACCAUAUAAAAAAGUUCCACAAUUCAUUAAAAUCAGUACCGUUACAGCAAAAAAAAACAAACAUUACAGUGCUGUAUAAUCAUGUCCAGUACUUAGGAAAUCUGAGCCCACGAGUACUCGAGGGAAAGAAAAGCCAGAAACAUCCUAGCACAAAACAGUACAUUCUUCACAAGUGAGGGAUGUGGAUGCUGCUACUUUAUUGUGUUGCAGUACUACUCGGUUUCUUGUUUUGUGACAGCACUCUUUAGAGGUUAAAAAAAAAUCACAUUUUAAUGCCAUCCAACAUAUUCUCUUAAUAAUCAACCUCCCUUCAGAGAGCCACAUGGCAUAUGGUUUGCAGAAAAAUGCUUCGUCCAGAGGAACAGUACUGAGCAUUUACACUGUACAAAUAUCAGUGAUUACUAAAGUAGUACACAUUUCUGAAGGAACCAGAAAACUGCAGACAAAAUGAAACUGGGAAAAAAAACAGCAGAAUUUGAAUGGUUACCCUUUAUCAUUUACAAUGUGACAUAACACGUCAGACAUUCUUUAUGGAUUACAUUUUCCUCUAAUAUUUUAAUACCCUUUAUAAUAAAAUUUCCCAAAUCAGCUUUUUUUUUUUAAAGGCACAGCUGAGCUACACGGUCAGGAACUACAGUGUACCUUGAUUUAAUGGAUCACCUCUCUCAGCUUUUGCCACAACAACACGGAGCAUGACAUGAGCAUGACAUUAAACUAGUCUGUCUCCUUAACAUUGUGGGAUUUGGCAUCACCACUGGGGUUUCGGAUCUGUAAUUACAAUGCUUACAUCUAUGCAGCAACAUUUGGACUUACUGUACACAGAGACAACGUUUAAAAUUACAGAAAAUGUUUUAUGAAACAAUAAUCCAAACAGGUAUUAGUGUUGGGGAAACCUAAAUAAUGGAAAGGAGUAAAUAAAAAAAAAAAAAAACACACAGUGGAUACAGAGUUUACAAAACAAAAAGUUUACAGAGUUCAAGAACAUAAACAAACUGCACUCUGUACAAAUGUUUCUUACAUUUUAAAGUCAACAAAUCUUCUUGGGCCUUGAGUCAAAUAUA